ensembl:lncRNA
GGACGGUCGAGAAUAGGGCGGAUAUAUUGUUUUAAUGAUACAAUACCUGCUAACGCUAAAUAUCAUGAUGUGUUGUGUUGAGUUUGAGAUAAAAUAGAUCCAGCGGUGCCGGAUCACGCCGGUCCGCACCUCCGAUAUCACUGCGCCGCCGACUCACGUCAUUUUCGCCAGCGUGUCCGGAGGGAAAGGAGUCCCCGGCACGAGCUCCGCUGUUUUGUUAAAUGCACACUUUUUAAACCUGCCUGAAGAAGGUCUAGUUGAGACCGAAACGUUGCGGUGUUGUUUUGUGCCUGUUCCCAUGUUCCUGCUGGAGAAAAUAAACGAUGGCGGAGCAACGAGUGAGCAGAUUAUGGACGUGAGCGAGCCGGGUGCCAUGGGUGACUGCGAGGCUGCUGAUGCUGAGGUGAGGAGCGCAGUUCUUCCGGUCCACAUCACGGAGGGAGAAGGCACCUGCACCAGCACCACGGCUAAGGCGAGCAGAGGUACCCGGACCCGGACGGAGGUGAUGACGCGACAUCAAAGUGAUGGAGAAAGCGGAGGCGCCAUGUCUGUGGGUAACUGGGACUAAGGGAAACUUGAUUCUGUGUUUACUUUUGGGUCCUCGGAGCCGGGCCUGACGAUGGACCGUGCACUGACAGUGGUCUUAGGA